UAACUCUGGUUUCCCUUCAAAACGUAUAAAUCUUUCGCCUUUUACUAAAGAUUUCCUUGGAGGGGAACACUCAAAUGAGUCUAAUGAUACUUUUUGAAAUCCUCCUAAUGGGGAGGAC
rnacentral:snRNA from 1 species